UACAGAGGGUGCGAGCGUUAAUCGGAAUUACUGGGCGUAAAGCGCACGUAGGUGGCGACGUAAGUCGGGUGUGAAAGCCCUGGGCUCAACCUGGGAAUUGCAUUCGAGACUGCAUUGCUGGAGUACGGAAGAGGAGGGCGGAAUUCCCGGUGUAGCGGUGAAAUGCGUAGAUAUCGGGAGGAACAUCAGUGGCGAAGGCGGCCCUCUGGUCCAGUACUGACACUCAAGUGCGAAAGCGUGGGGAGACAACAGG
rnacentral:rRNA from 1 species